GUACAUCGGUCUCAACUCUGGUAGACUAGUCGUCUUUUCCGAAGAAAUUACAUACAAACGAAUAUUUCACAGUACAUGAGGCACCUCCCUCCGCAGUAAUUUUUUUUGCCUUUCGCACCUUCGUCAGACUUGCGACUUGCCGUGCCCGCAAGGCCAGCAGAUGCGUUGUAUAGUGAAUCACUGGCCACUCACGCUCCCGUGGCAUUACCAACGUUACACAUCAGAGGGGUGACUUUGAAAAGCCAUUGAGUCGACUCAUUCCACCACAGCCUACUUGCAACCGUGUGUGCGUAGCAUAUUACCUUGUGGCGGCUCCUGUCAGUCAUCAAUGCUUGUACAAAGCCACAUUUUGCAGUAUUCGCGCACGACACUAUUCUAAAUACGACCUGAUACCUCUCUAAACUCAACUCAAACUGCUUACACAUACAUCACAGCAUUCUUGUGAUCAUUCCCCAGAAGCCCGAAGCCUGGGCAGGCUGAUAGACAGGUAGAGGACAUCAAGUCUUGAAUACAGAUCGUGGCUUUUAAUUUUAUACGUCGACAUACCUUCAGCUUUCUUUUUUGCAACCUGGAUUUGAACAGAAGCUAGGAACGAAUAGCUGUACUCUCUCUGUCGACCAAAAGCUCCGCAGACGAUCAAUCUUGCUGUACAGAAAAAGAGGCCAUGACCGAACGCAGUGAAAUCCUAUCUGGCAACGCUGUUGAGAAGUCAGCGACCGGAUCUACAAAAGCAUGGAUUCGAGACUUGUUGGAGUUGUAUGAGCAUGCUGAGGGGCUAUAUCCAGAUAUAAGGUGGAGGGUACCAAGAGAACGGUCCGCGGUUUGGGGACAUAAAGCCCUUAUUUACGCGCGAGCUUCUAAAGCAUUCAGAGAUGCUUUUUUGCCCCUCCAAUCGUCGGGUCCCAUAGCUGGUGAUCCUUCGCCAUUACUUUCUUGUAUUCGCCACCCAGCCUUUCCUUUCCACAGACCAUUGCAAUUGCUGCCAGGGUCUCUCGACAACUCCAUUGAUUUGCCACUAUGCAACGACGACUUCAUCUUCGACAUGGUAAUCCAUGAAUCUGCGGAACUGUUACGAACCCAUCUGAAGUAGGUGUCUUUUUGUAAAAUCCUCGACAGAUAAUGAUUCAGCGUCCUUGUUCGGUCAGGAUGAUGUAUACCUCGGAAGGGGCAGAAGGUUUAUCAAAUUGGGUGAAGGGGCAGGCACAGAUUGGCGCGUGGCAAUCAGAGCCAUGGUUGUAUCCAGAUGGCUCUGGAACUGUGUCUGAAAGGCGGGCCAAGCUGAGUCAAGAUCUAACAUAUAUGUGGAGAAGCAAGCUUUUUGCGGACGU
rnacentral:misc_RNA from 1 species